CACUUGGGUCACACACUCGACUCGACCCAGGCUCUAGCCUUUCCCCCCGACCACUCCGCCGCCCGCUCCGAUGGCGCUGUCCCCGGCGGCGCCGGCGAACUCCUCCUGCUUCCACGCCCGCACCGCCGCUAACCAGACAUCCUCUCUCAGGUUGGCCGUCUCCUCCCGUUCCUCCGGGUCUUCGUCGGGCUCAGGGCGCAGACCAAGCUAGGUUCGUCGGAGUCGUCGUGCCCGAAUGUCAGCGCGGGGUUCUACACCACCGUCAACCGGAGGAUCUCUCUCGGGUUGUCAAACAAGAAGGCUACCAGAGCCCGCAUUUCGAUGAUGCCUAUAGGUACUCCACGUGUGCCUUACAGAACCCCUGGUGAAGGAACCUGGCAAUGGCUUGACAUAUGGAAUGCUUUGUAUCGUGAAAGGAUUAUCUUCAUUGGGGACAAUAUAGAUGAAGAAUUCAGCAACCAAGUGUUGGCAAGCAUGCUGUACCUUGACAGCAUUGAUAAUACAAAAAAGAUUCUUCUAUACAUUAAUGGACCAGGAGGAGAUCUUACUCCGUGUAUGGCACUAUAUGAUACCAUGCUAAGCCUAAAGAGUCCAAUUGGUACACACUGCUUGGGAUUUGCAUUCAACUUGGCAGGGUUUAUUCUUGCAGCUGGUGAAAAGGGUUCGCGUACUGGUAUGCCCCUAUGCCGGAUUUCACUUCAGUCACCUGCUGGAGCUGCUCGAGGCCAGGCUGAUGAUAUUGAAAAUGAAGCAAAUGAGCUUAUUCGUAUCAAGAACUAUCUGUAUGGCAAACUCGCGGAGCACACAGGUCACUCUGUCGAAAAGAUUCACGAGGACUUGUCUAGGGUCAAGCGCUUUGAUGCUGAAGGGGCUCUUGAAUACGGGGUUAUUGACCGCAUUGUCAGGCCUUCUCGGAUCAAGAAAGAGGGCUCCACUGCUCAAAGGAAGGACAUGCGAAAUCUGGGACUUGGCUAAUACUCCUAGAUUCUAUGUUACUAGCAUCAGAUCUAUGUACUGUGUUGGAUUGCAUUACCCCGAACUUCAGUUUACGGAACUCUAGGAUUUACUAGUUAGCAAGAUAGGCAGGCAUGCUGGCUGAAGUGGAAUGUAGCACCUAUUCUUCCAUUUCAUUAUAUGUGUCGGACGCAGCAUGCGCUCUACUUUUUCCCGAGAACCUUCUAUUUGAAGAGGAAUGUACUGUCCAAAUUUUCCACAAAGCUUAUACUGAAUCUGCUGCUCGCCAGUA